UUCUAUUGUUUUUAAAAAAAAAAAAAAUUACUCUUCCGCACAAACUUCAAUCAACUUUUGAAUUUAAGAGAUUUAAAACAGUUUUAAGCGGUUUAGAGCAGUUUUAAUAAUUGUUGCAAAACACCAGUUAUUUUGUUAGUAAAAUUAUACAAUAGUUAACGUUUUGAAAUGUUUUAAUAUAGGAAGAAGCUUUAAAAAAAAAUAGAAAAUUGAAAAGCAGUCAAGCAGUACACCACAACUUGCCGAUCUCUCAGCACGAUAAUAUCGUUCUUUCGAGUCUUGGGGAAAAUAUAGCACACGUCAUUUUCUCCAGCCUUUAAUCAUAUAUUUUCUCGAUAUAUAAAAUAUUCAUCGAUAUGAAAGUAACCACGAUGCAGUUUUUUAAAAACACAACAUUCCAUAUAAUAUAGAUAAUAAGAUCAGAUCAAAAGUGGACCUACAUAGAGAAGAUGAUAUCAAAAGAUGCUACAAACGUAUCUUUCACGGUUUGCUCCACGUUGAACAUCCAAGUCCAAUGAUAGAGAGGAAUUACUAAUAAAGAGUUGUUUCCGAUAUCUUGAAUUGCAUGAAUAUUCCUUUUGUUGGACUAGUUUUUAGCUUGUUUUUGUUUGAAAUGGUUGAUUUUUAACAUGAGAGUAAAUUUCAUUAGGUUUCUAGCUUUACGAGCUUUUCAUUUUAGUAAACUCAGAUAUUGCUAACUCUUUCAAACAUAUAUCCAGGGCCGUCUCAAAUUAAUUUUAGAUCCUGUUCAAAAAAUUAUUAAUCGUACAUUUUAUCAAGUAAUUUAAAAUUUUAAUAAUUUUGUCUAAUUUUUUUUUAAUUAUAAGUUCUAAAUUUAGUAUUAUAUCUAAAAUUUUAAAGUUUUUUACCAUAAUUUAUCUAUUUAUUUUUUUUUUAAAUUAAACUUUUUAUUUUUAUAUUUCGGGCCCUGUUUGACCGUUCUACUUGCACGUGCUGUUAGACGGCCCUGCAUAUAUCCAUUAGUUCUUUAUAUCAUAAUAAUCGAACUCGGAUAUAAUUGCUGAGAAUUGAAAAAGGUGUUCAAGUGAUCACUGAUCAAUACAAUUGCCUUGGAAUAUAUUGUGCAUGCAGUCUCUUAGCUAACCUACAUUAAGAUCUUCGAGGGAGGUUGG
rnacentral:lncRNA from 1 species